rnacentral:pre_miRNA from 1 species
AUGAAAUGUGACAUGCCCGUUGGGUUUUUCUCUGAUAUCGGAUUAUUAUUAUUAUUUAAUUGAUUUUGGGAAACGGGGUGUUACAGCUUCA